UGACAUUAGUGACGAAGAGAGCACGUCUCAUCUGUUUGACUCCAUAGCGGAGGAUCUGUUUUUUGGACGGGGAGGGACGUCACUCUCGACAAACAAUCACCUGACACUGAAUCAGAUGAAGACUGGGAGCCAGUGGAGAGACACAAGAGAUGUGUUUAUGUUCAACAAUCCACACAGCCCAUACUGGGGAUGCCAUUCAGAGGAGAGUCAAAGAUGAGGAUGGGCACUGGGUGUUGUGGGACAUCUCUGUUCCACCAGCAGUGAAAGAGUACAACCGGUGCAUGGGUGGAGUGGACCUCUCUGAUGCCCUGAUCAGCUAUUACAAAGUCAUCCACAAGACCCAGAAGUGGUACUUCAUGGACAUUGCCAUUGUGAAAUGCCUUCCUUCUUUACAA